rnacentral:rRNA from 1 species
UCAAUAAGCGGAGGAAAAGAAACUAACAAGGAUUCCCCUAGUAACUGCGAGUGAAGCGGGAAAAGCUCAAAUUUAAAAUCUGGCAGAUGUUUGUCUGUCCGAGUUGUAACCUAGAGAAGUGUAACCUGUGCUGGACCGUGUACAAGUCUCCUGGAAUGGAGCAUCAUAGAGGGUGAGAAUCCCGUCUUUGACAUGGACUACCAGUGCACUGUGGUUGCGCACUCAACGAGUCGAGUUGUUUGGGAAUGCAGCUCUAAAUGGGUGGUAAAUUCCAUCUAAAGCUAAAUAUUGGCGAGAGACCGAUAGCGAACAAGUACCGUGAGGGAAAGAUGAAAAGAACUUUGGAAAGAGAGUUAAACAGUAUGUGAAAUUGUUGAAAGGGAAACACUUGAAGUCAGCUGCAUUGGCUGGGGAUCAAGCCAGCUUAUUUGCUGGGUGUACUUCCUGGUUGAUGGGCCAACAUCAGUUUUGACCAUCAGAGAAAGGCUAAGGGAAUGUGGCACCUUUAUAGGUGUGUUAUAGCCCUUGGUUGUAUGUGGUGGAUGGGACUGAGGAUAGCAGCGUGCCGCAAGGCCGGGUUUCGACCACGUUCACGCUUUGGAUGUUGGCAUAAUGGCUUUAAGUGACCCGUC